UGUAAUACUGUAUACUUUCAUUAUACUAAAAUUGGAAUGAUACAGAGAUGAUUAGUACGGCCCCCGCACAUGCCUGACACACAAAUUCAUGAAGUGUUCCAUAUUUGU